UCCUUGGAAUUCCUCUGUGGUCCAGUGGCUAGGACUCUGCACUUUCACUGCUGAGGGCCCAGGUUCAAUUCCUGGUCAGGGAA